UGGGGAAUAUUGGACAAUGGGCGCAAGCCUGAUCCAGCCAUGCCGCGUGGGUGAAGAAGGCCUUAGGGUUGUAAACCCCUUUCACCGGUGACGAUGAUGACGGUAGCCGGAGAAGAAGCCCCGGCUAACUCCGUGCCAGCAGCCGCGGUAAUACGGAGGGGGCAAGCGUUGUUCGGAAUGACUGGGCGUAAAGGGCGCGCAGGCGGUCCGUUGCGUCAGGCGUGAAAGCCCUGGGCUCAACCCGGGAACUGCGCUUGAUACGGGCGGGCUUGAAGCCGGCAGAGGGUGGUGGAAUUCCCAGUGUAGAGGUGAAAUUCGUAGAUAUUGGGAAGAACACCGAAGGCGAAGGCAGCCAUCUGGGCCGGUCUUGACGCUGAGGCGCGAAAGCGUGGGGAGCAAACAGGAUUAGAUACCCCUGUAGUCC
rnacentral:rRNA from 1 species